GGCGGUGGUCGACAAGAUCCCCAGCGAAGGGGCAGUGGUUGACGAGGGUGGAGGGGGCAGCGGAGCCGCAAUUGAUGAGGUAGUUGUCAGGGGGAGAGAAGAGGUGGGAGAGGGUGGGGAAAGGAAGGAGAAGGAGGAAGAGGAAAGAGAAGAGGGUGGAAGGCAUGUUUUGAUAUGGAAGAGGGAAUUAGAUGGUGAAAUUUGGGUGGGAAGAAGAAGAGAAG
rnacentral:lncRNA from 1 species